rnacentral:rRNA from 1 species
AGUGAACGCUGGCGGCGUGCCUUACACAUGCAAGUCGAACGGUAACAGGUCUUCGGAUGCUGACGAGUGGCGAACGGGUGAGUAAUACAUCGGAACGUGCCUAGUAGUGGGGGAUAACUACUCGAAAGAGUGGCUAAUACCGCAUGAGAUCUACGGAUGAAAGCAGGGGAUCGCAAGACCUUGUGCUACUAGAGCGGCCGAUGGCAGAUUAGGUAGUUGGUGGGAUAAAAGCUUACCAAGCCGACGAUCUGUAGCUGGUCUGAGAGGACGAUAGGCCACACUGGGACUGAGACACGGCCCAGACUCCUACGGGAGGCAGCAGUGGGGAAUUUUGGACAAUGGGCGCAAGCCUGAUCCAGCAAUGCCGCGUGCAGGAUGAAGGCCUUCGGGUUGUAAACUGCUUUUGUACGGAACGAAAAGCCCUGGGUUAAUACCCUGGGGUCAUGACGGUACCGUAAGAAUAAGCACCGGCUAACUACGUGCCAGCCGCCGCGGUAA